CCUACGGGAGGCAGCAGUGGGGAAUAUUGCGCAAUGGGCGAAAGCCUGACGCAGCGAAGCCGCGUGAGGGAUGAAGGUCUUCGGAUCGUAAACCUCUGUCAGCAGGGGAGCACGGUCACUGUGCUAAUCAGCAGUGAAUUGACGGUACCUGCAAAGGUAGCACCGGCUAACUCCGUGCCAGCAGCCGCGGUAAUACGGAGGGUGCGAGCGGUAAUCGGAAUUACUGGACGUAAAGCGCUCGUAGGCGGUAUGUCAAGGCAAGGGUGAAAUCCCCGCGCUCAACGUGGGAACUGCCUUUGAAACUGGCAAACUUGAGUGUGUGAGAGGAUAGUGGAAUUCCAGGUGUAGGAGUGAAAUCCGUAGAUAUCUGGAGGAACAUCAGUGGCGAAGGCGACUAUCUGGCACAUAACUGACGCUGAGGAGCGAAAGCGUGGGUAGCAAACAGGAUUAGAUACCCGUGUAGUC
rnacentral:rRNA from 1 species